GGGGUUGUGGCUCAGUGGUAGAGCGCACAUCUAGCAUGUGCGAGGCCCUAGGUUCAAUCCUCAGCACCACA
rnacentral:tRNA from 1 species